AGCGUCCCUAGUAGCCGGGGCGUCUCUAGAGAUGUGCAAACUUCCGGUUCCCGCAGUGGCCCGGGCCUGGCCUCCGCCGCCGGUUCCUCCUCCCAGGCGUCCGCCUACUUCUUUGCUGCGCCCAUGGUUCUAGCCGGCGCCCAGGCCUGGGCCGGGGCCGGCAAGGCGGAGCGGGCGAAGGCGGCGUGGUGAGCCGGCGGCGCGGGUAUGAUGUGGACCUCGCGUUGCCGCUGCUGUUGCCACCGCUUGCUGUCGGCCGCGCUGCUGCUGGCGCUAAGCGGGCAGCUGUCUUUGCUGCUGCUGCUGCUGCUGCUCCUGCUGGACGGAGCGGCCGCCCUCGCCUCUCACACCUCUGUGCCCGGAGCCCCACUGAAGCCUUCCCAGCCCCCGCCGCUGCCUCGGGCCUCGGGCACUGUCUUCCCCGCCAGGCCCGGCCUCCCGAGUGCUGGCAGGACCGUGUCCCCUUCCGGGCAGGCCGGGCUCAGCGGCAAUGGCAGCGGCCCCGGAGCCGGGCCUGCCGAGAUCGGAGGCGGCGGGCUGGCGGUGUCCCCGAAUUCUGGCGACAAACCCAUGACCCAGCGGGCCCUCCUGGUGCUGAUGGUGGUGAGCGCCGCGGUGCUUGUGUACUUUGUGAUUAGAACCAUCAGAAUGAGAAGAAGAAAUAGAAAGACACGAAGAUAUGGAGUUUUGGACACAAAUCUAGAAAAUAUGGAAUUAACACCUUUAGAACAAGAUGAUGAUGAUGAUGAUACAACUCUUUUUGAUGCCAAUCAUCCCCGAAGGUUUUCGUGAUAUUACUGUAUCCUGGUCCUCCUUCUACCUGUCUGACCGUUUCUUCCCAAUCUCCUUUGUUGAAUCUUCUUCCAGCCCAGGAAAGAUAAGAAUGUGCCUUUUAAUGAGAAAACAUCAUUGGUGAACAUCAUAGGAAAAAGCUUAUGAUUAAGGAAGAAGAAGCCAAUAUCAGUCACAGUAUGGGGGGUAUUUAAGUUAUGUAUAUUAUGACUUUUAAUUUGUUGUUGAAAAAAAUACUGUAUCAGUUUGUUGCAUCUUUGUAUAUAUAUAUAGGAAUGUUAUAAAUGAGUUCAAAUCUGAAGAAAAAGAAAUGCAUUAUAAUAUAAAGCUACUUGAAAAUUACCAUUAAAAUAGUGUUUUCAUUUUUCUUUUCUUUACUGUUUACCAUGUGGUAAACAGUUUCUGUUUAUAUGCUAAUCAGCUAAAGUUAAUUGUUUUGCUGGUAUAAUGUUUUAAGUAAUUAUACUUGUAGGUACCCACUGAAGUGCAAAUUCUUUAAUAUAAUUUGAUUUUUUUUCCCCAAUAAAAUAUAUUUCCCAUUUUUGGGGGGAAAUGCCAGAUGUACUGCUUUGUUUUUGAGUAUUUUUUAAACUAUAUAAUUAUAUGAGCUGUUGUAUGCAAAGCAAUAAAUGUGAUAUUAAAUUGUUUUAAGUGCACUAAAAGAAAUGUGGAAAGGAACUAUCAUUUGAAGAUAAAAAUUUAUUUCCAAAAUAA